CACAGUGUUGGGGACCUGGGUGCUGGCCGUCCAGCUGCAGGUCCAUGUCUGGUUUCAGUACGCACAGAGAUGGGGCAGGGGGAGCCACGUCUGUCCCCAUGGCCCACAGACCUUAACCUUUCUCUUUUCUCCCUCUAGAGUUGAUCUGGAAGCCACCAGCAGAAGACGCAAGGGGACUCUGUCACCUGUGGGCGGGCAGGAAAAGACAGCAGCUGGCAGAGGUGGGCGCCCCCUGGACUGCCUUGUGCCUGCAGGGCCCAGUGUGAGCCUCUUGAACACGAUUUCUAGGAAAACGGCCUCACCCUUGUGUGGACUUCCAACGCCACUGCCCAGAGCUUGGAGUCACCACAGGCCAGCUCAGUGUUAGCUCGAUCCGCCUGCUCAGUGUCCUCUGGUCACUGUGGACUCCUUCACAGAUUGAGGUAGGACUCCUAUGUCCCCUGUGUUUUGUUUUGUUUUGUUUUUUGAUACUGGGGAUAGAACCCAGGGUCUUUGCGCUGAGCUACAUUCCCCACCCCUUUUUUAUUUUGAGAGAGUCUCAUUUCUUUGUUAAAUUUCCCAAGUUGGAUAGAUAAUGUGAAAAAGGAAGAAAAGGGACAAAGGGGAAGGAAGUGGGAGGGGUAGGGGAAAGGAAAGAAGGGAAUGGAAUUAGUAUGAGAAAAUGAACAAACGGAAACAAAG
rnacentral:lncRNA from 1 species